GGUUGGUCCGAGUGCAGUGGUGUUUACAACUAAUUGAUCACAACCAGUUACAGAUUCCUUUGUUCCUUCUCCACUCCCACUGCUCCACUUGACCAGCCUUUA
ensembl:misc_RNA Y_RNA Y RNA